CUUCCCAUUUAUUUGCUGCUGUUGUCUCUCAGUGAUAUGAGCAGUUAUACGCAUGGGAUAAAACAUACCGGACCUUUGUAAAUGGAGAUGAAGUCAUCAUUUUAUCUCUUCUGCAUGGUCUAGACAUCG